rnacentral:rRNA from 1 species
AAUAGAUACCCUGGUAGUCCACGCUGUAAACGAUGUCAACUAGCUGUUGGCUAUAUGAAUAUAGUUAGUGGCGCAGCAAACGCGAUAAGUUGACCGCCUGGGGAGUACGGUCGCAAGAUUAAAACUCAAAGGAAGUUGACGGGGGCCCGCACAAGCGGUGGAGCAUGUGGUUUAAUUCGAUGCAACGCGAAGAACCUUACCUACCCUUGACAUACAGUGGAGCUUGCAGAGAUGUGAGUGUGCCUUCGGGAACACUGGUACAGGUGCUGCAUGGCUGUCGUCAGCUCGUGUCGUGAGAUGUUGGGUUAAGUCCCGUAACGAGCGCAACCCUUAUCCUUAGUUGCCAGCACGUAAAGGUGGGAACUCUAAGGAGACUGCCGGUGACAAACCGGAGGAAGGCGGGGACGACGUCAAGUCAUCAUGGCCCUUACGGGUAGGGCUACACACGUGCUACAAUGGUUGAUACAGAGGGCAGCGAAGGGGUGACCGUGGAGCAAAUCUUAGAAAGUCAAUCGUAGUCCGGAUUGG